AUGAACGCUAGCUACAGGCUUAACACAUGCAAGUCGAGGGGCAGCAUGGUCUUAGCUUGCUAAGACUGAUGGCGACCGGCGCACGGGUGAGUAACACGUAUCCAACCUGCCGUCUACUCUUGGACAGCCUUCUGAAAGGAAGAUUAAUACAAGAUGGCAUCAUGAGUCCGCAUGUUCACAUGAUUAAAGGUAUUCCGGUAGACGAUGGGGAUGCGUUCCAUUAGAUAGUAGGCGGGGUAACGGCCCACCUAGUCUUCGAUGGAUAGGGGUUCUGAGAGGAAGGUCCCCCACAUUGGAACUGAGACACGGUCCAAACUCCUACGGGAGGCAGCAGUGAGGAAUAUUGGUCAAUGGGCGAGAGCCUGAACCAGCCAAGUAGCGUGAAGGAUGACUGCCCUAUGGGUUGUAAACUUCUUUUAUAAAGGAAUAAAGUCGGGUAUGGAUACCCGUUUGCAUGUACUUUAUGAAUAAGGAUCGGCUAACUCCGUGCCAGCAGCCGCGGUAAUACGGAGGAUCCGAGCGUUAUCCGGAUUUAUUGGGUUUAAAGGGAGCGUAGAUGGAUGUUUAAGUCAGUUGUGAAAGUUUGCGGCUCAACCGUAAAAUUGCAGUUGAUACUGGAUAUCUUGAGUGCAGUUGAGGCAGGCGGAAUUCGUGGUGUAGCGGUGAAAUGCUUAGAUAUCACGAAGAACUCCGAUUGCGAAGGCAGCCUGCUAAGCUGCAACUGACAUUGAGGCUCGAAAGUGUGGGUAUCAAACAGGAUUAGAUACCCUGGUAGUCCACACGGUAAACGAUGAAUACUCGCUGUUUGCGAUAUACUGCAAGCGGCCAAGCGAAAGCGUUAAGUAUUCCACCUGGGGAGUACGCCGGCAACGGUGAAACUCAAAGGAAUUGACGGGGGCCCGCACAAGCGGAGGAACAUGUGGUUUAAUUCGAUGAUACGCGAGGAACCUUACCCGGGCUUAAAUUGCAGAUGAAUUACGGUGAAAGCCGUAAGCCGCAAGGCAUCUGUGAAGGUGCUGCAUGGUUGUCGUCAGCUCGUGCCGUGAGGUGUCGGCUUAAGUGCCAUAACGAGCGCAACCCUUGUUGUCAGUUACUAACAGGUUCCGCUGAGGACUCUGACAAGACUGCCAUCGUAAGAUGUGAGGAAGGUGGGGAUGACGUCAAAUCAGCACGGCCCUUACGUCCGGGGCUACACACGUGUUACAAUGGGGGGUACAGAGGGCCGCUACCACGCGAGUGGAUGCCAAUCCCCAAAACCUCUCUCAGUUCGGACUGGAGUCUGCAACCCGACUCCACGAAGCUGGAUUCGCUAGUAAUCGCGCAUCAGCCACGGCGCGGUGAAUACGUUCCCGGGCCUUAUACACACCGCCCGUCAAGCCAUGGGAGCCGGGGGUACCUGAAGUGCGUAACCGCGAGGAGCGCCCUAGGGUAAAACUGGUGACUGGGGCU
rnacentral:rRNA from 1 species